rnacentral:rRNA from 1 species
AACGAACGCUGGCGGCAGGCUUAACACAUGCAAGUCGAACGAUGUAGCAAUACAUAGUGGCGCACGGGUGAGUAACGCGUGGGAAUAUACCUUAUAGUGGGGAAUAACUUUGGGAAACUAAAGCUAAUACCGCAUACGCCCGAGAGGGGAAAGAUUUAUCGCUAUAAGAUUAGCCCGCGUGAGAUUAGGUAGUUGGUGGGGUAAUGGCCUACCAAGCCUACGAUCUCUAGCUGGUCUGAGAGGAUGAUCAGCCACACUGGAACUGAGACACGGUCCAGACUCCUACGGGAGGCAGCAGUGGGGAAUAUUGGGCAAUGGAGGAAACUCUGACCCAGCCAUGCCGCGUGAAUGAUGAAGGCCUUAGGGUUGUAAAGUUCUUUCGCCGAUGAAGAUAAUGACGGUAGUCGGAGAAGAAGCCCCGGCUAACUUCGUGCCAGCCGCCGCAGUAA